GUUCCACACAUAUUACACAAAGAUUCGCCCCAACCUUCUCAAGCCUGGCAAGUACAAUCUCAGCAGCGACGACGACGCGUACUUCUUCCUUUCGAGUACGGGGACCAAGCUAUUCAAUGCCUCAAACGAUCUCGCAAGACUGCACAAGAAAUUUAAUAUGCCAAUCGUCACCUGCAAUGAAGUAAGAAAAUCUUUAGAAACUGCAUCAUCAGCAACACUAGGAGACAUCGACCGCCGCCACAUUGCCGACUACCUCGCACACACGAUCGACGUUGCCAACCGCCACUAUGUCAUCAAGGAAACCGCCAAUGUGGCAAAAGCUGCUCAACUGAUUGGACGCCUGGUACACCCUGCAGCUACUCGUAUGAAACCAGCCAGCGAUGAUACAACGGGAAGUGAGAGCGCGACAGGCACAGCCAGUACUGCCAGUGUGGCCCAGUCAGCUGUGUGUCGCUACAAUCGCCCUUGAUGAGGAUCCACCUACACUAAAGACCUGCAAGGACAUCGACCAGCAAGAUGGACAACGACUCUACAAUCGAUGGAUGUACGAACGAACGAAGUUGCGAGGCAAAGAA